rnacentral:misc_RNA from 1 species
GAUGAAGAACGUAGCGAAAUGCGAUAAGUAAUGUGAAUUGCAGAAUUCAGUGAAUCAUCGAAUCUUUGAACGCACAUUGCGCCCUCUGGUAUUCCGGGGGGCAUGCCUGUUCGAGCGUCAUUAUAACCACUCAAGCUCUCGCUUGGUAUUGGGGCUCGCGGUUCCGCGGCCCCUAAAAUCAGUGGCGGUGCCUGUCGGCUCUACGCGUAGUAAUACUCCUCGCGAUUGAGUCCGGUAGGUCUACUUGCCAGCAACCCCCAAUUUUUACAGGUUGACCUCGGAUCAGGUAGGGAGACCCGCUGAACUUAAGCAUAUCAAUAAGCGGAGGA